rfam:TPA: Bos taurus chromosome 10, whole genome shotgun sequence.
UCCCUGGUGGCUCAGAGGUUAAAGCAUCUGCCUAGAAUGCGGGAGACCCAGGUUCGAUCCCUGGGUUGGGAA